CCUACGGGGGGCAGCAGUAGGGAAUCUUCCACAAUGGACGAAAGUCUGAUGGAGCAACGCCGCGUGAACGAGGAAGGUCUUCGGAUCGUAAAGUUCUGUUGAAGGGGAAAAAGAGCGGAGAGAGGAAAUGAACUCCGAUUGAUAUUACCCUUCGAGGAAGUCACGGCUAACUACGUGCCAGCAGCCGCGGUAAUACGUAGGUGGCAAGCGUUGUCCGGAUUUACUGGGUGUAAAGGGCGUGUAGCCGGGUUGACAAGUCAGAUGUGAAAUCCUGCGGCUUAACCGCAGAACUGCAUUUGAAACUG
rnacentral:rRNA from 1 species